GCUAGUAUGGCUCAGUCGGUAGAGCAGCUGAUUCGUAAUCAGCAGGUCGCCAGUUCGAGUCUGGCUACUAGCUCCA
rnacentral:tRNA from 1 species